AUUGAACGCUGGCGGCAUGCCUUACACAUGCAAGUCGAACGGUAACAGGUUAAGCUGACGAGUGGCGAACGGGUGAGUAAUGUAUCGGAACGUGCCCAGUCGUGGGGGAUAACUGCUCGAAAGAGCAGCUAAUACCGCAUACGACCUGAGGGUGAAAGCGGGGGAUCGCAAGACCUCGCGCGAUUGGAGCGGCCGAUAUCAGAUUAGGUAGUUGGUGAGGUAAAGGCUCACCAAGCCGACGAUCUGUAGCUGGUCUGAGAGGACGACCAGCCACACUGGGACUGAGACACGGCCCAGACUCCUACGGGGGGCAGCAGUGGGGAAUUUUGGACAAUGGGCGCAAGCCUGAUCCAGCCAUGCCGCGUGCGGGAAGAAGGCCUUCGGGUUGUAAACCGCUUUUGUCAGGGAAGAAAAGGUUCUGGCUAAUACCUGGGACUCAUGACGGUACCUGAAGAAUAAGCACCGGCUAACUACGUG
rnacentral:rRNA from 1 species